rnacentral:rRNA from 1 species
GACGAACGCUGGCGGCGUGCUUAACACAUGCAAGUCGAACGGAAAGGCCCUGCUUUUGUGGGGUGCUCGAGUGGCGAACGGGUGAGUAACACGUGAGUAACCUGCCCUUGACUUUGGGAUAACUUCAGGAAACUGGGGCUAAUACCGGAUAGGAGCUCCUGCUGCAUGGUGGGGGUUGGAAAGUUUCGGCGGUUGGGGAUGGACUCGCGGCUUAUCAGCUUGUUGGUGGGGUAGUGGCUUACCAAGGGUUUGACGGGUAGCCGGCCUGAGAGGGUGACCGGCCACAUUGGGACUGAGAUACGGCCCAGACUCCAACGGGAGGCAGCAGUGGGGAAUAUUGCACAAUGGGCGGAAGCAAGAUGCAGCAACGCCGCGUGCGGGAUGACGGCCUUCGGGUUGUAAACCGCUUUAGCCUGUGACGAAGCGUGAGUGACGGUAAUGGGUAAAGAAGCACCGGCUAACUACGUG